GACGAACGCUGGCGGCGUGCCUCAUACAUGCAAGUAGAACGCAGUUGCGAACGGGUGAGUAACGCGUAGGUAACUGCCUCAUAGCGGGGGAUAACUAUUGGAAACGAUAGCUAAUACCGCAUACUGUAAGAUGGACCUGCGUUGUAUUGGCAAGUUGGUGAGGUAAAGGCUAACCAAGGCGACGAUAAAUAGCCGAACUGGGAGGGUGAUCGGCCACAAGGGGAUGGAGAAACGGCCCGGGAUCGUACGGUAGGCAGCAGUAGGGAAUCGUCGGCAAUGGACGGAAGUCUGACCGUGCAACGACGCGUGAGUGAAGAAGGUUAGCGGAUCGGAAAGCUCAGUUGUUAGAGAAGCGUUAACUAACCAGAAAGGGACGGCUAACUACGUGCCAGCCGACGCGGUAAUAC
rnacentral:rRNA from 1 species